AUGUCGAGAACGACGAGGGUUCAUUUAUCGAGAAUCACCGCAACGGGCUUCUCUUGCUUUGGAACCACCUCGUGUAAAGGGAUGGAGGACUUUGGCAACGACGUGUGCCUUGUUUAUGACCCCACCGUGUCGCCGCACUACGAUGUGCUUUUUCUUCCUUGUGUCCCCUACGGUCUUCUUGAUUGCGCAACAACAAUAUUCACGGAGGAAUCGGAGUGGCCGCCCUUGGCCUACCCAAUACAAGUCUUCUCUUCAAGGACAUGGAGAUGGGAGGAGAGGUCGUUGGCCCGGAGAGGAGAGGCUGCAGGGACCAUCGCUGACAUGGAUCCAUAUAGGGAUUAUGAACACCGUUAUGCCGUCUACUGGAAAGGAGCGAUCUAUGUGCAUUGUCAAAAUGACUCCAUUUUACGCAUAACCUUAACGGAUGGUUCGCAUGAAGUGAUUAAAUCGCCAACAGGAAGUAAAAUGGAAGAUUCCACCAAUCUUUAUCUAGGGAAAUCAAAGAAGGGGGUGUACUGCACUUUGAUUUAUAAUGAUACCUGGGGGGGACUUAAGAUUUGGUUGCUUACUGAAUCAUGUGGUAAGUGGGAGUGGGUGCUAAAGAAUGACAUCAACUUCGCGGCAGCGGUGGCAAAAUUUUCUUGGUUUUAUGGAAAAAAAAACAAGGACCGUGGAUCUUACAGAAAGGUGAUUGUGAUGAAAAUGUUAAGGAAGCACCAGUGCAAGAUAACUAUGAAUGGGACUUCGACAAUGGUAUUAUCCUUGCGGCUGAAGAUAAGGUUGGAUCUGACGAUAUGA
rnacentral:rRNA from 1 species